rnacentral:rRNA from 1 species
GAGUUUGAUCAUGGCUCAGAAUCAACGCUGGCGGCGUGCCUAACACAUGCAAGUCGCACGAGAAAGGGGCUUCGGCCCUGAGUACAGUGGCGUACGGGUGAGUAACACGUGAAUCAUCUACCUCCGAGUGGGGAAUAACCUAGAGAAAUCUGGGCUAAUACCGCAUAACACUUACGAGUCAAAGCAGCAAUGCGCUUGGAGAGGAGUUCGCGGCCGAUUAGUUAGUUGGCGGGGUAAUGGCCCACCAAGACGAUGAUCGGUAUCCGGCCUGAGAGGGCGCACGGACACACUGGAACUGAAACACGGUCCAGACUCCUACGGGAGGCAGCAGUGGGGAAUUUUGCGCAAUGGGGGAAACCCUGACGCAGCAACGCCGCGUGGAGGAUGAAAUCCCUUGGGAUGUAAACUCCUUUCGAUAGGGAAGAUAAUGACGGUACCUAUAGAAGAAGCCCCGGCUAACUUCGUGCCAGCAGCCGCGGUAAUACG